rnacentral:tRNA from 1 species
GGAUGCGUGGCAGAGUGGCUGAUUGCUGCGGUCUCCAAAACCGUCGGGUGCUCCCUUCAAAGACGCGCCCCGUGGGUUCGAAUCCCACCGCAUCCG